GCCAACUGCCGGACCAAGUUGGCCAGCGAAUUGUUGGCUACGUUCUCGAGCUCCGUACUGCAUCCGCUCGGCAGGGCUUUGUUGCUCAGGGGUUUCUUCGGCCAUACUAUACAACAGGAUUACUCAACUGACCAAUGAGAGCGCGGGCAUAAUAUCGAUUGGCCAGCUCAGCACCAGCCGACCCUAGGAGAAAAAUUGGGCAAUUAUUGCAACCCCCCCCCGCCAACGGAGCCGAAAGAAAAACACAGAGAAAUGUAUACAUUCAUCAAUGUUUGCUUCCUCGCUUACGACAGUAAUGUUCCGGGUUGUAACUGGAUACCGGCCGAGACUUUUAUGAUCUGUUAUUUUCUAUUUCAUCAUGAUUACCAGUAUGUGGUAAUCAUACACUCUAGCUUUCAGACAAAAGAAAACAAAUACAGGCAGAUUUGCAACACCCGCAAUCCGCGAAUUUCACGGUCGUGAAGAUAAUCUCGGGGUGGUGAAACAAACAAGUCUUUAUUUAAUGGCGUGAAAUGUACUGAGAUCGUAGAUUGUCGAGCAUUGACCCCCCAGCUGCACAAAGGCAACGAGGCUGAACUGAGACGGACGAGGAAGAAGUAAUGCUGGCGCCUAUAGGCGAGAGGGCUCAUGGUUGUCUUGGGUAUAAAUAGACAGCCUCUCACUUGAAGACCAGAUCAAAUAUCAUUUCUUCGUGACAACGGUACAAAUUAGUACAUCCGAAGCAUAAUGUGUCCGUCGCAUUGAGUACUUCGUGUUCAGUAUUUAUCCUUAAAUCGUCGUAUUCCCUUGCGUUUUGUUCCUGGCUGACCCAAAUUCUUUAUAUUAAUCUGAAUUUUGGUCACUGUUUGUCGAUUGUGUUAUUGUUAGUUUUCUUAUAAGUGAUUUCAAGUCAUUGUUUUUAUCAUUCAUCUGGUUUUUUUUUCAACCGAUUUCGAAUAUAAAGCCCGCGUUUUCCUUGAAUCUUACCUUAACUUAGCCUCUUUGAAGAGUGUUCUUUAAGUCUUACUUCUGAUGUUACCGGUAAAAUGCGGGUUAUUUCAAUGGCUCGAAUUAUUUAAGGCUGAGACCCCGACUGGGACGCAAUUGACUCAAUCAGGCAAGU